AACAUUCUAGUAGCUUAACCAAUUAAAGC
rnacentral:tRNA from 1 species